rnacentral:rRNA from 1 species
UACGAAGGGGGACUAGCGUUGUUCGGAUUUACUGGGCGUAAAGCGCGCGUAGGCGGAUCGCUAAGUCAAGGGGUGAAAUCCCAGGCUCAACCCUGGAACUGCCUUUGAUACUGACGAUCUGGAGAUCGGGAGAGGUUGGUGGAAUUCCGAGUGUAGAAGGUGAAAUUCGUAGAUAUUCGGAGGAACACCAGAAGCGAAGGCGCCAACUGGCCCGAUACUGACGCUGAGGCGCGAAAGCGUGGGGAGCAAACAGG